rnacentral:rRNA from 1 species
GACGAAGGGGGCUAGCGUUGUUCGGAAUUACUGGGCGUAAAGCGCACGCAGGCGGUCGCGCGCGUGGGGUGUGAAAUCUGGCCGCUUAACGGCCAGGCGCCAUCCCAUACGGCGCGCUGGAGCCUUGCAGAGGGCGGUGGAAUUCCGGGUGGAGCGGUGAAUGCGUAGAGAUCGGAGGAACACCGACGGCGCAGGCAGCGUCCUG